GUGCUGCAUGGCUGUCGUCAGCUCGUGUUGUGAAAUGUUGGGUUAAGUCCCGCAACGAGCGCAACCCUUAUCCUUUGUUGCCAGCGGUCCGGCCGGGAACUCAAAGGAGACUGCCAGUGAUAAACUGGAGGAAGGUGGGGAUGACGUCAAGUCAUCAUGGCCCUUACGACCAGGGCUACACACGUGCUACAAUGGCGCAUACAAAGAGAAGCGACCUCGCGAGAGCAAGCGGACCUCAUAAAGUGCGUCGUAGUCCGGAUUGGAGUCUGCAACUCGACUCCAUGAAGUCGGAAUCGCUAGUAAUCGUGGAUCAGAAUGCCACGGUGAAUACGUUCCCGGGCCUUGUACACACCGCCCGUCACACCAUGGGAGUGGGUUGCAAAA
rnacentral:rRNA from 1 species